GCCCCAUAGUUGAUGCAAAAGACUGUCAUAUGAACCUGAAAGGGUAACUGAAACCGAAGAAAGGACCCUAGUGUCUUGCCAAAGACAUGCCACAAGGGGUGAGAAGGAGCCGACGUCUCAGCGAACAGGGCACGAGACCAGCUGUGCGUGGCCAGGCUCUGCUUUAGUCCCAAAAGGAAAAGAAAUUCGCAGGAGACAGUGAAUCUCAGACUCUUCCUUGGUUAUGAGCAGGAGGUCCCUGGAUCCAAGAGGGAACCUGGCAGCAGGGGUUCCUGGGGAUCAUAUCUGGCACUGGUGAUGAUUGGCUCCACCAAUCAGUGAGGAAGGGAUCCUACUGACCCCAGCCCCCGGACCAACUUCAGUGAAGAGACAGA